UCCUUCGUGGCGCAAUUGGCUAGCGCGUCAGACUGUUAAUCUGGAGGCUGUAAGUUCGAUCCUUACCGAGGGAG
rnacentral:tRNA from 1 species